rnacentral:rRNA from 1 species
CCUACGGGUGGCAGCAGUGAGGAAUAUUGGUCAAGGGACGAGAGUCUGAACCAGCCAAGUAGCGUGAAGGAUGACUGCCCUAUGGGUUGUAAACUUCUUUUAUAUGGGAAUAAAAUGUUCCACGUGUGGGCUUUUGUAUGUACCAUAUGAAUAAGGAUCGGCUAACUCCGUGCCAGCAGCCGCGGUAAUACGGAGGAUCCGAGCGUUAUCCGGAUUUAUUGGGUUUAAAGGGAGCGUAGGUGGUUUGUUAAGUCAGUUGUGAAAGUUUGCGGCUCAACCGUAAAAUUGCAGUUGAAACUGGCAGUCUUGAGUACAGUAGAGGUAGGCGGAAUUCGUGGUGUAGCGGUGAAAUGCUUAGAUAUCACGAAGAACUCCGAUUGCGAAGGCAGCUCACUGGACUGCAACUGACACUGAGGCUCGAAAGUGUGGGUAUCAAACAGGAUUAGAUACCCCAGUAGUC